rnacentral:rRNA from 1 species
ANGGAAANGGUNNGGGGNUUANUUUUAAUUAGCAAUAUCUNCAUUUGACGUUUAGCCUGCAGAAAAAGCCACCCCGGCCUAACUUCCCGUGCCAGCAGCCCGGCGGUAAUACGGAGGGUGCGAGCGUUAAUCGGAAUUACUGGGCGUAAAGCGCAUGCAGGUGGUUUUGUUAAGUCAGAUGUGAAAGCCCGGGGCUCAACCUCGGAAUUGCAUUUGAAACUGGCAAACUAGAGUACUGUAGAGGGGGGUAGAAUUUCAGGUGUAGCGGUGAAAUGCGUAGAGAUCUGAAGGAAUACCGGUGGCGAAGGCGGCCCCCUGGACAGAUACUGACACUCAGAUGCGAAAGCGUGGGGAGCAAACAGGAUUAGAUACCCUGGUAGUCCACGCCGUAAACGAUGUCUACUUGGAGGUUGUGGCCUUGAGCCGUGGCUUUCGGAGCUAACGCGUUAAGUAGACCGCCUGGGGAGUACGGUCGCAAGAUUAAAACUCAAAUGAAUUGACGGGGGCCCGCACAAGCGGUGGAGCAUGUGGUUUAAUUCGAUGCAACGCGAAGAACCUUACCUACUCUUGACAUCUACAGAAGCCAGCGGAGACGCAGGUGUGCCUUCGGGAACUGUAAGACAGGUGCUGCAUGGCUGUCGUCAGCUCGUGUUGUGAAAUGUUGGGUUAAGUCCCGCAACGAGCGCAACCCUUAUCCUUGUUUGCCAGCACUUCGGGUGGGAACUCCAGGGAGACUGCCGGUGAUAAACCGGAGGAAGGUGGGGACGACGUCAAGUCAUCAUGGCCCUUACGAGUAGGGCUACACACGUGCUACAAUGGCGCAUACAGAGGGCGGCCAACUUGCGAAAGUGAGCGAAUCCCAAAAAGUGCGUCGUAGUCCGGAUUGGAGUCUGCAACUCGACUCCAUGAAGUCGGAAUCGCUAGUAAUCGUGGAUCAGAAUGCCACGGUGAAUACGUUCCCGGGCCUUGUACACACCGCCCGUCACACCAUGGGAGUGGGCUGCAAAAGAAGUGGGUAGUUUAACCUUCGGGAGGACGCUCACCACUUUGUGGUUCAUGACUGGGGUGAAGUCGUAACAAGGUAACCG